AGGAGCGAUCAUACCAGCACUAAUGCACCGGAUCCCAUCAGAACUCCCAGUUAAGCGUGCUUGGGCGAGAGUAGUACUAGGAUGGGUGACCUCCUAGGAAGUCAUAGUGUUGCACCUC
rfam:Lupinus angustifolius cultivar Tanjil contig_22497, whole genome shotgun sequence.